rnacentral:rRNA from 1 species
CACGUGAGUAACCUGCCCCUGACUCUGGGAUAAGCCUUGGAAACGAGGUCUAAUACCGGAUAUGUGACGUUCAGGCAUCUGAUGCGUCUGGAAAGAUUUAUCGGUCAGGGAUGGACUCGCGGCCUAUCAGCUUGUUGGUGGGGUAACGGCCUACCAAGGCGACGACGGGUAGCCGGCCUGAGAGGGCGACCGGCCACACUGGGACUGAGACACGGCCCAGACUCCUACGGGAGGCAGCAGUGGGGAAUAUUGCACAAUGGGCGCAAGCCUGAUGCAGCGACGCCGCGUGAGGGAUGAAGGCCUUCGGGUUGUAAACCUCUUUCAGCAGGGAAGAAGCGCAAGUGACGGUACCUGCAGAAGAAGCGCCGGCUAACUACGUGCCAGCAGCCGCGGUAAUACGUAGGGCGCAAGCGUUGUCCGGAAUUAUUGGGCGUAAAGAGCUCGUAGGCGGUUUGUCGCGUCUGCUGUGAAAACUCGAGGCUCAACCUCGGGCUUGCAGUGGGUACGGGCAGACUAGAGUGCGGUAGGGGAGACUGGAAUUCCUGGUGUAGCGGUGGAAUGCGCAGAUAUCAGGAGGAACACCGAUGGCGAAGGCAGGUCUCUGGGCCGCAACUGACGCUGAGG